UCCUUCAUUGUUGGACUUCCAUACAGUUCAAUUUUCUGUCAUUUCUGGUUGUUUUUUGUUUCUAAAUUGUUGUUCUUAUUUUGGUUGUGCGAGGAGCCACAGUGUGUCUACCUAAGUCUCCAUCAUGGCUGGAAGUCCUUACUGGUGUCUUCAUUAUUUAAGGGAAGUAACUCCUCAAGAUUCUAAUUUAGGAUUUAUAUUUAAGAUUCUUAUGUGAACAUUUAUUAAGAACCUGCUGCCAUUUAAAAGCACUUACAUGUAUUUUUAUACUCAGAAUAUGACCACAUUGAUCAGUUUAACAUGAAAAUUGUUCAGAAAAGUUUUCAUAGUUGAUACAGGACCCUCAUCCCCUUUCUUCAUGUCUAUGUCCAUUUUCCUGACGAGGGUCCUCCAUCCUUCUGAGGGCAGGCUCCCCACUCAGCAGGGAGCAAGCCCUGGAUGGCUAGCUUUGCAUCUGUAAAGUCCUCCAGGGAAUCUUUUACUUAACAGGGCUAAGUCAUUCGCUAAAUUGCAAAAUGAAACUGUUCAAGGUAAGGAGCAUCCAUCUCAAGAUAAGGAUACUCAGCCAGCCAGUCAGCUGUUAUUUGCUAAGCGUCUAUGAAGUGCAAAGUACUGUGUUGGGUUACAAAGUUGAUUGAAAGGAGUAUGAUAGCCUUUGACUCUAGCCAGGAAGUCGAGAUAAGCUGUUGAAACGUCAGGUACCAUUUUGAGACAAUGUAUGAUCAGGAGCCAGGUGUGGUCAGUUAAACAUUUGUCGUGCUAUGCCCAAGGGGAGUAGCUCCUCAAGGCUGUUUGGCCCCAGCAUGGGAAGGGGGAAGACAAAGGCAGCUGCUGCCUUCAAGGGAAGAACUAAGCGUUGAGGCUUUCCUAUGAGCAAUCCUGGUGGUCAGCAGCAUGAGCUUUCCCACCUUAUUUUCCUUAAACUGAAAGACUCUGGAUGCUUCUCUGUCUGUAAAUGUUUCAACUGGACUCCACAUUGUGUGUCUACCCACUCCCGGAAGGUUUAAGGGAAAAUGUUUUAUGGUAAUCAUUGGGGAAAUGACAGCCAACACUGAGAAGUACUAGGAAGUUGAUGGUGAGUAUGGAGAAGCAGAGACCAGUUGUGGGAAAUUCUAGUUAGGUUCCGUGAUGAAUAUAUGUGGGCAUACUUUGUGCUGGGUGGGAGUCUGUAGACUAGCAGUCUGCUGCAGAUUAAGUUUCAAACCUAGGGGUCCUGAGGGGAACCCACAAAGGACAAGGAGCUCCCUGAAGCAGCAGCAGGGAGGGAGAGAAUUUGAGCUGGGUGUUGGGACCUAGAGUCACAGGAAAAGGAAGCUGCUUGUUCCUGGGUAUUUGGUAUAGGAAGAAUGAACAGCAGUCUCUUUAACUUCUGGCAUUGCAUCCCUUCAGGUGGACCCCAUCAGUUUCACUAAGGAGCUGGGGAGUUGUAUUUGCAGGUACCCAGGGAAAUAGUAUGUUGUCACUAUUAUGUCAAAAUAUAAUUUUCAAAAAUUAGAAAUAUGGCUCAUAAGAGAUAUAAAAUGAACAUGUCAAAAUCUUAUUAAAUAAUAGCCCAUCAAGGCAGAAUCCAGUGAAGAUGGUAAGCUAAUUCAAAGGGUAUUUGAGGAACCAGGUGUUUGUAGGCUUGAAAAAGAAAAAGAAAUAGUAAGAUUGCUAGGCUAUACAAAACACUGGAUAUUGUCUAUAGGGCAAUAUAACUAUAUUGAGGUUCUUAUACCAUUCAGAAAUCUACACAUUAACAGAAACUCUCUGUGUCUGUGCUCUAAUCAGAUAGUAAAUAGCAAAGUCAAACACUAUUACAUUCUAGAGAAUGAAAUAAUCCUUGGAGGGCCUGUUCCAACCAUGUUGCAAUAUGCCUGCUCCUCUCCAACCCCAGCCUCCAGCCCACUCCUGCCCAACUGCCUCAGUUCCAAGUUUUGGAUAGUUUCAUUAACAUUUAAAAACUACUUUGCAGUUAAGGAAACCUGAGAUUGAAUUCUAAUUCCUUUAUUUAGCAGUUGUGUAAUAUUGGGUAGGUAAAUUACCUGUGACUAGGAUUUACUUCCUGUAAAUUGGGAGAAACAGAAAAGAUAACUUUUGUAAAGUCCUUGGCACAUGAUAAGAUAUCAGUAAAUCUUAGUUCUGCUCUUUACCUUUCCUCUUUUUAAAGUGAAGAACAAACAGUUUCACCUUUGGCCUUCAUAGACAAAUUUCCCUCCUUCCCUCUUUCUGUUGCUCCCUCCCUUUCUCUAGUUUAUUACAACAAUGUCCUAGAACUCCUUCAGUUUCCUACAUUACUAAUGGAGGGAUUCUAUUUAAUUUUCAUCUAAGUGGAAAAAAAUAGAUGUUAAUAUUUUUUACUUAAAAAUUUCCGAGCUUUAUUGAGAUAAGUAAUAUAUACAUUGAUAAAUUAGAAGUAUACAACAUCAUGAUUUGAGAUAUGUAUUAUUUCAGAAUGACUAGCAUGUUAGGGUUAACACAUCCAUCACCUCCCGUAUUUACAGUUUUCCUUUUUUUGUGGUGAGAACUUUUAAGAUCUACUCUCAGUGACUUUUAAAUAUACAGUGCAGUAUUGUUGGCUGUGGUCACAACGUUGUAGUGUGCGUUCUAUUUAGGGAACCCUCCCUGCAUAUGAAACAAUGAAAAGAAGUGACUUAAUUAUAUAUGAUUUCUUACUUGAUACUUGUUUUUCUUUUUCUGAGGGUUGUGAUGGGGGUAUUUCUUGUUUAGGUGUAAGUAUCAGCCUAUUCCUUUAAAUGGAGAGCUGACUUUCAAGUUGUUCUUUCUGAAGCCCAUCCAGUAUUUCAGUGCCUGCUGUGUGCCCUGCUCUGGGUUGAGGUCUGUGAGGAGGGGGACAGAUGCAUGGAAGGAAGCCUUCCAGAAGUUUGCUCUCCUCAACUCUCCUUGCUCAGUAAAGGUUAGCUCGGGGGGGGGGGGGUUAACGGUGAUGCCAGAGGGCGUGGAAGCUGGUGUCUGGCACAGGAGACUAAUUAUUAUAGCUGGACUGCGGUUUCUGCAGCAGAUUCUGUCCUCCUCUCCACAACCCCUUGUGUGAUAACCCGUGUGCUGGCACAUGGGACAUUGACUUGUGAUUCAGCAUGGCAAAAGCUGUGACAUCAAGAGCCUCUUCAGACUUUUGAUUUGGAGAAAGGAGUCUUUUUCUAGUUAGAAGUUUUUAUAGAGGCCAGAGAAGCAUCUUUUUACUUUUGACUCAGGAUAUUUUACAUCAGGACUAGCUCAUUUCUCUGCCAGUAGCUAGUUUAUGAGCUUCUGAUGCUGCUCCAGGAAAGUAAGGAUAAGAUGAAAUUGCCCUUGACUCUACCUCCCUCCCUUGCAGAACACAGCAUUAAUGUAGAUUAAUAAUCAGGGGUCCCCAAUUCUAAACUCGGUUCUGCCACUACUUGUAAUAUUCUUUCUUUUUUUUAAGUAUUUAUACAAUUUUUUCCUGUCCUGCAUAAAAGCAGAAUGAGGUGCAGUUUAAACAUUGCUCAAUAUUAGUGGUCACACAGGGAAAAGUUCUGGAACCUUGUUUCCUCAUGUUUAUAUGGUAACUCUCAAUACGGCGAUAUGAUCAGUGCUGUGACAGUCCAUAGUCAAUUUAUAUUCAUUAAAAACAUGCAUUUAUUGAACAACAACUCUGUGCCAACCCCUGGCGAGUUUUCUGUAAACAUGGUAAAUAAGAACCUGCCCUAAUGGAGACAGAGUAUAGCCAAAUGAAUAAUAAAGUGAUUAGAGAUUAUGGUAAGAUUAUGAGUGAAAUACAUCAGAUGAUGAAAAACUAUAAGUAAACUGCUAUUUUUAGUAAUUUUAAUUAGGGUUAUCAGAGCCACUUUCCUUGAGAAGGUGACUUUCUGAGCUGAAAACAGGAGGGUGACAAUGAGUCAGCCAUGGGAAGAGCUGAGUGAAGGGCAUUCUGUGAAAGAGGGAGUGACUCGGGGAGGUGUGGAUGAGUUUGCCUUGUUCAAGGAACAGAAAGUCAAACCUGUGCCUGAUGUGGAGUGAGGAAGGGGGCAGGUGGGUGGGGAGGUGGGCAGGGCCAUGUAGGUUUUUCUAGAUCCCAGGAAGGAGUUUGGGUAUUCUCUGUGCAGGGGAAAGCUCUUCGAGAGGUAUAGAGCAGUGGAAUGGUAUUGUUCUGGGUGGAAAUUGGCCCUUUCACGAGAUCACAAGGAAGGCAUUCCAAGGACCCGUGCUUGGGAGAAUGUGGUGUGGCAUGGUUUAUUCGUGUGGAAAUAGAAGCUGCCCCCUGGGUUUCCGUUGCCCCAUCUCCCUUUCUCUGACCAUGGAAAAAUCCAACUGUGUCUUCAGCAGGACCGACAGAAAUGCCAGUGUGCGGAGUUUUUGCUUCACAUUAGAGCUUAGUCCUUUGGAAUCUGCAGGCAGCUGCUAAGCGAUCUCAGUCCCCACCAGGCAGCUUAGCUUAUUCCUAGCUGCUCUGGUGCAGAAGUCUAUGUGGCUGUCAGCCAUGCAACAGCUAAGGCCAGAUGGCUGUGGAGAGAGAA